rnacentral:rRNA from 1 species
GCCUGUUUUUACAAAAACAUGGCUCUUUGUACAAAUAAAGAGUCGGGCCUGCCCGGUGAUUUUUUUAACGGCCGCGGUACUCUGACCGUGCAAAGGUAGCAUAAUCAUUUGCCUUGUAAUUUAAGGCUAGUAUGAAAGGUCUGACAAGAGUAUAACUGUCUCCUUUUGGUUAAGUAGAAUUUUAUCUAUAAGUGAAGAAGCUUAUAUAAUAUUAAUAGACAAGAAGACCCUAUCGAGCUUAAAAAGAAUUAAUAGAAAAACUUAAAAUCAAAUUUAAUCUACUAAAAAUUUUAGUUGGGGCGACUAAGGAACAAUUAAAGCUUCCUGACAGAAUUAGACAGGCGGUAAAAUGAUCCAAAAUUUUUGAUUAAAGAAAUUAGUUACCGUAGGGAUAACAGCAUUAUCUCUUUUAAGAGUUCUUAUCGAAAAAGAGGUUUGUGACCUCGAUGUUGGACCAGAAUAUCCUAAAGGUGUAGUGGCCUUUAAAGGUUAGUCUGUUCGACUAUCAAAAUUCUACGUGAUCUGAGUUCC